GACGAACGCUGGCGGCGUGCUUAACACAUGCAAGUCGAACGAAGUGGAGAACGGGUGAAUGACGCGUAAACAACCUGCCCUUCAGAGGGGGACAACAGUUGGAAACGACUGCUAAUACCGAAUACUGAAGGAGGGGAUUGCGUCGGAUUAGCUAGUUGGAGGGGGAACGGCCCACCAAGGCGAGGAUCAGUAGCCGGUCUGAGAUGAUGAACGGCCACAUGGGGACUGAGACACGGCCCAGACUCCUACGGGAGGGAGCAGUGGGGAAUCUUCCGCAAUGGACGAAAGUCUGACGGAGCAACGCCGCGUGAGUGAUGACGGCCUUCGGGUUGUAAAGCUCUGUUAAUCGGGACGCGGUACCGGAAUAGAAAGCCACGGCUAACUACGUGCCAGCCGCCGCGGUAAUAC
rnacentral:rRNA from 1 species